CGGUCGCCUCAAAAAUUGCCAUGGCAGUGAAAAUUUCACCAGUCUACAUCCCUACGCCUCUUAGCUAAAUUGCGCUUCCGCCAUUUUUUCCUUUCAAUAAAGCUCCAAUUUUCCGGUAAAUUCUCCGGUAACUGAACCCUAGGCACGUGGCAACCCACCGUAGCAUCACAUCACGUCACGUUAUUUCCUUUUUCCUCACAAAUACUGUUGGAAUCCGAUUCCCUGUAGAAAUGGAGAAAAUGGAAUUCAAUUCCAUCCUUUAGUUCCUGUAAUCGGGAAAAUUAUUGUUUAAUCAGGAAUACCGGGAAAAGUUGUAUACAGUCGAAGGAAGAAUAGAAUGAGAAGUGUCCACUUGGUUUUUAAUGUAUGAAGGGGGCAAAUUGUUGUGAUUCUAUAAGCAUCAUUAUAGUAGCAUCUUCGUUGUCAUCAGUAUCAACCAGUUCGAAUACUUACAAGUUUCGGCUCCACGCGGCAUUUGAUUCUAAUUUGAAAUCCCCAAAAUGGCUAUUUAAGUCGAAGAUGCGAAUUCCAAAGCGUUCAGUUUCCGUUUGUCUUUCUGUCUUCUCUCCUCCGAAACACCUGGUUUCAUCUUUUACUCGAAGCUUUCAUUUACAUUUGGGGAUUCUCAGUUCCGAUCAUUUUCCGAACAGAGGGAAAUCAGUUCGUCACAAAGGGAGAGAUCGGUUACAUACAAGUUGUACAAUGGAUGGCAUUGGUUUAGAUACCAGGGCGUCGCUGAUUGAGAAGGGAAAUGGUGCCGUUGGUGGUCAGCGUUCGUGCAUAUGGUCAUCUCCUGAAGGAGGGUGUGACAUUGUCAUAGGAAAGCAGAUAUUCUGUAACAGGUCCUUAAACAUGAGAAGUAUAGUUGCUGUUGGAUUUGACAUGGAUUACACCCUGGCACAGUACAAACCUGAGACUUUUGAAUCUCUUGCAUAUGAAGGCACUGUCAGAAAGCUUGUUUAUGAUUUAGGAUACCCUUCCGAGCUGUUGAAAUGGUCAUUUGAUUGGAGCUAUAUGGUCAGAGGCUUAGUUCUUGAUAAAAAGAGGGGGAAUAUAUUAAAGAUGGACCGACACAAAUAUGUGAAAGUAGCUUAUCAUGGAUUUAGGGAGCUUUCCAAGGAUGAUAAAGUCGCUACUUAUGGCAAUACCUUGCUUCGGGAUUCAUUUGAUGAACCUGACUAUGCACUUAUUGAUACCCUUUUCUCUCUUGCUGAAGCCUACUUAUUCGCUCAGUUGGUGGACUUCAAGGACAAAAAUCCAGGAAAAGUUCCUGAAGAUGCAGACUACUCUUGCAUGUACAAGGAUGUUAGAGCAGCAGUAGAUUUGUGCCACCGUGAUGGGACUUUGAAGCAGAUGGUUGCAAAAGAUCCAAAAAGAUAUAUCAAUGAGGAUACCUCAAUUGUUCCGAUGCUCAAAAUGCUUAGAGAAUCUGGACGUGCUACUUUUCUGGUAACAAACAGCUUGUGGGACUAUACAAACAUUGUUAUGAACUUCCUUUGUGGGCCUAAACCCUCUGAUGGAUGUAGUUCCAGUUUUGAUUGGCUGCGCUACUUUGAUGUUGUCAUCACUGGCAGUGCAAAACCAGGUUUUUUCCAUGAUGAAAUUCGUGCAAACCUCUUUGAGGUUGAACCUGAGAGUGGCAUGCUUAUUAACACUGAUAAUGGGACUCCUAUGGCACAGGUGGGGAGCACUUCUUUGAAAUUGCCUUUAAAGAGCUUGAAGGAAGACUGCAGAAUUUUCCAGGGGGGAAAUGUUGGCCAUUUGCAUAAAUUACUUUCAAUUGAGUCAAGCUCACAGGUUCUUUAUGUUGGAGAUCACAUUUACGGUGAUAUCUUGCGCAGUAAAAAGGUUUUGGGUUGGAGAACAAUGCUUGUUGUUCCAGAGCUUGAGAGAGAGGUUGAACUUCUCUGGAAACUAAGGGAUACUCGCAAGCAACUACAGUUAUUGAGAAUUCAGCGUGAUCAAAUUGAAGAUGAAAUACACCAUCUUAAGUGGUCUCUCAAGUCUGAAGAUACUGAUGAUGCUAGCAAGGAGAAGAUGUUUUCACAGCUUGACAAGCUGCAGUCUCAAGGUGAGGAGGUCAGGCUCGGUCAUCAGCAAGCACAACGAGAAUGUCACCAAAAGUUCCACAAGGUCUGGGGACAACUGAUGAAGACGGGUUAUCAGAAUUCUCGUUUUGCACAUCAGGUGGAAAGGUUCGCUUGCCUUUAUACCAGUCAAGUGACAAAUUUGAGUCUGUAUUCCCCGGCUAAGUACUAUAGGCCUAGCGAGGAUUUUAUGCCUCAUGAAUUUGACAUUCUAUCUAUUUGAAGAGAUGAUAUCAACCAGGAGCCACAGGCAGUGCAUUUUGAAGAAGAGCUUUGCUCAUUCUAACUUCUAGGUCUAAAAUAAAUGCGGGUUGUUUGAAGAAUAUUAAUAGGACCUAAGAUGAGAUACAUCACUUUUCCCACAUUUGCAGUAUUCUUCGGGAGAUAAUAAUUUGAGAUUGGCUAAUCAAUCCGGGGAGAAAUACUUGAUAGUAGUGUCAUUCUCUUCUACUAUUUAAAGUGUACUGAUCACUCUUUUUUAAUGGUUUAAAGUACUGUCCAUUACUAUUUGAAUUCGAACAUUAUGAAAUUGUUUUGCCAACGAAGAUAGAGGUUAGUUUUUUUUUAAGGUCUUUGAGGAUUGUAGUUGAGAUUAUCCUCAUCCUUUAAUAAGAGAUCUUGAGUUUGAGUUAUGUAAAUGAAAGA